UUUUUUAUACACUACACGCUUGUCAUACGGUAAGAUAAACAAUAAUACAUAAUUCUUAUAUACUUAAAUGACUUAUUAUACGAAAUGUUUCUCGUUAUCAUAUGUUACCUCAAACAAUAUAGAUUAUCAUGUAAACUGCAGGUAGAUAUUCAUUACAUUUACAAAGAUGUCCAGAAGUCAGUAUAUAAGCCGCAAACAACUAAGUCAUAUAUUUAUCAAAGUACAGAGUACAUAUGCAAAUGACAGUAUACUAUAAAGAACCUCAGACCAAAAGUGAGAGGCCUUGGCAUGUUCUAAUACUAGAGAUUUAAUUUGUAACAUUAUUCGUCUACCUAGAUUUAGUGUUGGUUUUACUUUUGACUUUUCAGAUGUUAUUGACCCUUUAUAUUGUAAUGAUCUCGGUGUUAUCUCUCUGUGUAAAAACCAGUUGAAGGUUUGAUUGAUUGUUGGAGAUUGAACGCACUGUGGUCAAGUAUACAGCACACACACAAACGGAUUUUAACAACGUUCUAAUUCUAAUCGUUGAUUGGUACAUGUUUAAUUUGUUUUAUUUCAUUCAUGUAUUGUAAUAAACUAUAUAUAUACAUCCGUGUUUAUUCUCAAGAGAUUUAUCGAUACUAUGUUUCCGAUUCUACGUGAAUACUACUUGCGGAAGUCAUAAUCUAUAAACCUUUAGAAUUAUAAGCAACAUAAUUGUACUUAUGGUUAAGACUCUUGCCACAAGGAAAACUUAUAUUUCGAGCACUUGAAUUAGAAUACAAGUGACUUUUUAUUUACACUUCUGAUAGGAUUAACAUCACAUUUGUUUCAUAUCUUUGCUAUUUUCUACUAAAAAUUGAGGGAAAUAGGGAAUAUGCCAAAGAGAAAACACCCCGACCAAAGAGCAGAAAACAGCCGAAGCCUCCAAUGGGGCUCCAACUUCUGUCCGUUUUGUCGUGAUCUUUUAUCUAUGCCAUACCUAUGCUUGUACACACACAUAUUAAUUUAUAUUAUCAUUAUCAUAUAACUGCAUAUACAGUUUAAACUAUACAGAAAGAUUAACAUGUGUUGUGUUUGUUUAUAUUUUCAAGGUAAAUAGAAGAGAUGUUUUCUCUAAUUGGGAUAUUGGCUUUCAUUUUAUUUGGACUGGAGUCUUUCCAUUUUGUGGGACAUUGCUUGAUUAUGUUCCGAGUUCGUCAGUUACCAAGAAAAGAUUUCGUAAGAAUGCGUUUCUAUUUCCUGGUUGAUACAUUAACUGUUUUCCUGUCUUCUUUUGUUGUUUUGGGAAAGUUGCAGUGGUUAACAGGUAUCCAGUUGAUACAGCAUUUGUAUUAUUAUCUUAUGUGGGAAAAGACUGAUACUGCUAAAAAGGUAAACACACGUUAAUAUCUUAAGUAUCAGCGAGUGUUACAUGUAUAUGUAUAUGUAUACACACACACUAUUAUUCAUUUAAAAGUUAUGGAUUUUAGAAAAUCACACAAUUUAAAUGAGCAUAAUGAAAAGAGAAAAACUUGAAAACAAGUGUACAACAAAGUAAAAACCAUAUAUCAUGAGAAGAUCUUAAAACACAAUCGGCAAAGAGCUCAGUUGUGCAAAUAUAAGUUACAAAUUUACGACACUUUGGUGUUUCUUCUAAAGUUAUGAUUGCAAAUGAGACAACUAGACGUUAAGACCAAAUGGCAAAGAUGUCAAACAAUUACAGACCUGUCCAUUGACUGCCUUCAACCAUGAGGAAUCCCAUACUAUUAGUAUGCUUUAAGUAGCCCCGGAAUGAGAAAACGUAAAACAAUUAAAAAAAGAAAAAUAACUACUUAUUUUUACUACAACAAUAAACGUAAAACAAACAUAACAACAGACAGUAACAAUUGACAACCAUUAAAUUACAGGGUCCUAACUUGAUAUAGGCGCUAAUAGACUGAGACGGGUUGCGAACGUUUAAUUCUACCCGUAACUCCUUAUCAUAUAAGUGGGAGGUUUAGCUAGCUAUAAAACCAGGUUUAAACAACCAUUUUAUACAUGGAAAUGCCUGUACCAAGUCAGGAAUAUGACAGUUUUGAAGAGCUUUCGAUUUUGCCUUUGAUUAUGGACUUUCCGUUUUGAAUUUUACUCGGAGUUCGAUAUUUUUGUUUUUUACUUUUUCUGUUGUAACAAAACGAUGUAGUAGGCUAUUUGACACACAUUAGAGGAUAUACUCAACAUAUCUGACACAAAUAUACAUAGAAAUAAACAUUCAACUUACUGUUUUAUCUUCAGUCCGAACAUAUCAAAGCAUUUGAUAAAAAAAAUAUACAAAAUAACCAUAACACAGAAAUAUUCAAACGAAACAAUAUAUCAAUACAAAUUCCUAAUACUUCAGAAGAGUGUACAGUUAUUAUUGAUAAAUGCUUUUGAAAUUAUAGAUUGUAAGCUGGAGUUCUUUAGAUUGGACUAGGAGUACGAAGUACAAAGAAUGGCAUAUCUGGUCGAUUCUAGGCACAUUAUUUGACGUAUUUGUUCAUAUGGUCAUGGGUAUUUUGCUGUCCCAACAGCUCACAACAGUACAGAUCAUAUCCUCACUAUUAAUCGCACAGUCAUGGUUGAUUUAUGUUUUAAAUGUCCCAAAGUAUGCUUGGAGCAGCCCUUGGGCAACCCCACAGUGGGUGGAAAAAAGAAUUAAGCCAUUAGACAAGUAAUUUAUCUUUAAAAUUGAUUUUAAUACACGUAAGCUUCAAAAUAUAAAACCACUAUAGUACGAAUAUGAUGAGAGGACAUAUUUAUUUUUAAAAUACUGAUAAUGAAGAUAAUUCUUGUUUCGCAAAACAUGGUCGGAGAAAUAAUAUUCAUUGAACUAACGUUGACAAAUUGUUGAUUGUAAAUAUGAUCCACUUGGCAUUAUUAUUUUUCGCAAUUUUAUGUAAAUAAUUAAUUUGUACAAUAAAAUUUUUAUCCACAUGUUGGAUGUGGCACAAUCAAUAAGUUA
rnacentral:lncRNA from 1 species